AGAGAGAGAGAGACAGAUUGUGAGUGUACAUUCAAGUGAUAUAAUAGUCCAGCAAACACCAGUUUAAACAAGUAGAAAUAUUUUAAAGAAAACACACACACACACACACACACAUUCUCAGAUCCUUGCUCGACUCAUGUUAUGUCAUCUCAAGACGAGCAAAAAUAAAGGUGAUAAAUCUGCCUCAGAGUCACUUGAGUCAUGACAGAAUCAAAUAAAAUCACAUUUGACCACAUUUGCUUAACUUCACAUCCUGACAAUCAGCAAACACCACAGACAUCAACAUGAAGACUUGAGGUUAAAUGUUUAUGAAUGUAUAAGGGAAAGUGUUUAGCAAUUUUUAAAACCACCUUUUACACUAAUUUUUUUUUAAACCUUUACUAUUGUUAGGUUUACUCAAUCCUCCCUUGUUCAUAUUACUCAAAAAUGCAUGCAACCAAGUGAACUUAAUUUAACUGAGUUGUUUGAAAUAGAGUUUACUUUAACCUAUUUGCGUCAAGAAAAUGUGAACAUUUUUUAUUUAUGUUACUUUGUUACUGAGUUACUUUGACAUGUCCAAGUUUGAGUUUACCCAAUAUAAUUAGGUUUCCUCUACACAAAGUAUUUGAGUUGAGAUUACUUGUAAUUUUUAAGUACAUACAAAUUCAUUUCAAACAAGUGGAACCACUGUACACAACACGAAUAUUUAUGCUACUUUGUUACUGAGUUACUUUGACAUGUCCAAGUUUGAGUUUACCCAAUAUAAUUAGGGUUCCUCUACACAAAGUAUUUGAGUUGAGAUUACUUGUAAUUUUUAAGCACAUACAAUUUUAUUUCAAACAAGUGGAAAAACUGUCCAGGUUUGAAUCAAGUUCAGCCAAAGAGUUAUUUUAUUGAGUGCAGCCUUUUUUUUUUUUUUUUUUUUUUUUUACAGUUUACUUCAAUAGUCCCCAAACUAUAGCAUAACUAUAGAAUUAAGCUUGUGAUCAGAAUGAAAGUUAGUAAGAGGAAGCAAAGAUAGGAAACACACACACACACAUACUCACACAUUCACACAGAAUGUCAAAACUGAAUGCAGCUUUAAAUUUGACACUCAUUUCAAUCUCAUAUUCUGACACCAAAAUAAAAUAUCUUCUCUAAACUCUCAGAACGCGCUUCAGUCGUGAGCGAGAACGCGCGACUUGAGCGGACACGCGGAAGCGGGGUGCGCGCGCAGACAGUGAGAUACCGCUUCCGCCUUUAACACACAUGACCAAAUAAGGAGCCCUUCUCAGAACUCCAACAUGCAUCAAGGAAAUUCAACGCGAGGGAAUAAACAACCUCCUUCCUUUAUUCAAUAAAUCUGAAGUGCACAUAUUUACUUUAAUAAAACAUAUUUACUUUUUCACACAUUAUGGUUAUAGGUUUCCACACUUACGACAGGAUAAACUUGAACGUACCAUCCCGUUAAAAAUCAAGGAAGCUGUCUGCAAGCGCGCGACUCUCGAAAUGUUGAUAAUAACGGAAGCGUUUUUUAGUUCUGUCGCGUCGCGUCCAAACGCGCGUUGUUGUAACAGGCGUACUCUAGCCAUAUCGGAGAAACUUUUGCGCAUCCUGAUUCACUCAGACUUAACAUAAUAAUAAUAAUAAUAAUAAUAAUAAUAAUAAUAAUAA